rnacentral:rRNA from 1 species
UACGUAGGGGGCAAGCGUUGUCCGGAUUUAUUGGGCGUAAAGAGCUCGUAGGCGGUCUGUCACGUCGGCUGUGAAAUCCCGAGGCUCAACCUCGGGUCUGCAGUCGAUACGGGCAGGCUAGAGGUAGGUAGGGGAGAAUGGAAUUCCCGGUGUAGCGGUGAAAUGCGCAGAUAUCGGGAGGAACACCGGUGGCGAAGGCGGUUCUCUGGGCCUUACCUGACGCUGAGGAGCGAAAGCGUGGGGAGCGAACAGG